AGGAGACAUCAUCAUUUAUUGAACCAUUCUCCACUAAUGGACUUUCACCUGAUCACUGUGAUGUGAGACCAUACAAUGAGAACCAUGGCUGGCUGUGGGGCCUGGAUCUGCUGCAUUCCUGGUGCCCCAGCAUCCAGCCCCGAGUCUGCCCACAGAGAGUGGGCCUGCUCACUGGGGCGACCGCACUCUGCUGCACCACGCUAAGGCUGCCCUGGUCCAAUCUCUGCCUCAGACUGGACCAGAGGUAUCUCAGAGAGGGAGGGACGAGCUCCCCACUAGGACUCUGGAGGUUUCAGGACUUGGGGACCAGGGGGAAAACCUGCUAAAUCGCCUAAAACCAGCUGGAGCAGCCUGAAGGACUCUCCAAUGACCUCCUCCUGAACCUACACCCCCAUUAUCAUGCUUGAACAUGCCGAUGUAUGUAUAACCAUGUUUCCUGACUUCGAAUGCCCUGGACUGUCACCACCUAUACAUGCAAUUACAAAGUCUACUUCAAUGUUUAUGCAUGACUUCCCCUAAUAAAGAUGGGUUGGAUACUUUGCUCAGGGAUACCAUGCUCUGGGUACGAC